rnacentral:rRNA from 1 species
AACGAACGCUGGCGGCAGGCCUAACACAUGCAAGUCGAGCGCGCCCUUCGGGGUGAGCGGCGGACGGGUGAGUAACGCGUGGGAACGUACCCUUUGCUACGGAAUAGCCUCGGGAAACUGAGAGUAAUACCGUAUACGCCCUUUGGGGGAAAGAUUUAUCGGCAAAGGAUCGGCCCGCGUUGGAUUAGGUAGUUGGUGGGGUAAUGGCCCACCAAGCCGACGAUCCAUAGCUGGUUUGAGAGGAUGAUCAGCCACACUGGGACUGAGACACGGCCCAGACUCCUACGGGAGGCAGCAGUGGGGAAUCUUAGACAAUGGGGGCAACCCUGAUCUAGCCAUGCCGCGUGAGUGAUGAAGGCCUUAGGGUUGUAAAGCUCUUUCAGCUGGGAAGAUAAUGACGGUACCAGCAGAAGAAGCCCCGGCUAACUCCGUG